UGUUCUGUUGCUUAUUUGGUUGCAGCGCCGGACUAGCGAUACGGAGUCGUGGGUUCGAAUCCCACAAAAACAA
rnacentral:tRNA from 1 species